rnacentral:rRNA from 1 species
GGCAACGAGGGAGUGAACUAGCAUGCGAGUCAUUGUAGCAAUACAAGGCAGACGGCUCAGUAACGCGUAGUCAACCUAACCUAUGGACGGGAAUAAUCUCGGGAAACUGAGAAUAAUGCUCGAUAGAACACUAUAUCUGGAAUGGUUUGUGUUCCAAAUGAUUUAUCGCUAUAGGAUGGGACUGCGGUCUAUCAGCUUGUUGGUGAGGUAAUGGCCCACCAAGGCUAUAACAGAUACGGGCUCUGAGAGGAGUAGCCCGGAGAUGGGUACUGAGACACGGACCCAGGCCCUAUGGGGCGCAGCAGGCGAGAAAACUUUGCACUGUGCGAAAGCACGACAAGGUUAAUCCGAGUGGUUUCUGCUAAAGGAACCUUUUGUCAGUCCUAGAAACACUGAUGAAUAAGGGGUGGGCAAGUUCUGGUGUCAGCCGCCGCGGUAAAACCAGCACCUCAAGUGGUCAGGAUGACUAUUGGGCCUAAAGCAUCCGUAGCCGGCUCUGUAAGUUUUCGGUUAAAUCUGUACGCUCAACGUACAGGCUGCCGGGAAUACUGCAGAGCUAGGGAGUGGGAGAGGUAGACGGUACUCGGUAGGAAGGGGUAAAAUCCUUUGAUCUAUUGAUGACCACCUGUGGCGAAGGCGGUCUACCAGAACACGUCCGACGGUGAGGGAUGAAAGCUGGGGGAGCAAACCGGAUUAGAUACCCGGGUAGUCCCAGCUGUAAACUAUGCAAACUCAGUGAUGCAUUGGCUUGUGGCCAAUGCAGUGCUGCAGGGAAGCCGUUAAGUUUGCCGCCUGGGGAAGUACGUACGCACGUAUGAAACUUAAAGGAAUUGGCGGGGGAGCACCACAAGGGGUGAAGCCUGCGGUUCAAUUGGAGUCAACGCCGGG